rnacentral:rRNA from 1 species
UACGGGGGGGGCAAGCGUUGUUCGGAAUUACUGGGCGUAAAGGGCUCGUAGGCGGCCAACUAAGUCAGACGUGAAAUCCCCGGGCUCAACCCGGGAACUGCGUCCGAUACUGGGAGGCUUGAAUCCGGGAGAGGGAUGUGGAAUUCCAGGUGUAGCGGUGAAAUGCGUAGAUAUCUGGAGGAACACCGGUGGCGAAGGCGGCAUCCUGGACCGGUAUUGACGCUGAGGCGCGAAAGCUAGGGGAGCAAACAGG